rnacentral:rRNA from 1 species
UACGGAGGGAGCUAGCGUUGUUCGGAAAUACUGGGCGUAAAGCGCACGUAGGCGGCGCAGCAAGUCAGGGGUGAAAUCCCGGGGCUCAACCCCGGAACUGCCCUUGAAACUGCAGUGCUAGAAUUCUGGAGAGGCGAGUGGAAUUCCGAGUGUAGAGGUGAAAUUCGUAGAUAUUCGGAGGAACACCAGUGGCGAAGGCGGCUCACUGGCUCGAUACUGACGCUGAGGUGCGAAAGCGUGGGGAGCAAACAGG